rfam:Triticum aestivum genome assembly, contig: Triticum_aestivum_CS42_TGACv1_scaffold_640700_T_6BL-0.234679_1BL-0.136142
CAUGUACUCCCUCCGUUCGGAAUUACCUGUCGCAAAAAUGGAUGUAUCUAGACGUAUUUUAGUUCUAGAUACAUCCACUCUCGAGACAAGUAAUUCCGAACGGAGGGAGUACUUG